GAGCGAAAGCGACGGCGUGCCUAUUGAAGAAUGAACCAACGAGUUACGUGCACUAGCGAGGUUAAGUGGAAGACACGGAGCCGAAGCGAAAGCGAGUCUUAAGAGGGCGGAUAGUUAGUGUACGUAGACCCGAAACCGCAGUGAUCUACCCAUGUCCAGGUUGAAGCGCAGGUAAAAUUGCGUGGAGGACCGAACCUGUGAGCGUUGAAAAGCUUUAGGAUGAGAUGUGGGUAGAGGUGAAAUUCCAAUCGAACGCGGAGAUAGCUGGUUCUCCCCGAAAUAGCUUUAGGGCUAGCCUCAAGUAGUAAGUAUAGGCGGUAGAGCACUGAUCGGGCUAGGGGCCAUAAAGGUUACCGAACCCUGUCAAACUCCGAAUGGUUAUACUGUAGAGCUUGGGAGUCAGACUACGAGUGAUAAGAUCCGUGGUCAAAAGGGAAACAGCCCAGACCACCAGCUAAGGUCCCCAAUGUCGUACUAAGUGGAAAAGGAUGUGGGGUCUCUAAAACAACCAGGAUGUUGGCUUAGAAGCAGCCACCAUUUAAAGAGUGCGUAAUAGCUCACUGGUCGAGAGACCCUGCGCCGAAGAUUACCGGGGCUAAAGUACGAAACCGAAGCUGUGGCUACGACGUAAGUCGUGGGGUAGGGGAGCGUUCUGUGAGGGCUGAAGUCGUUCUGUAAGGAACGGUGGACUUCACAGAAGUGAGAAUGUUGGUAUGAGUAGCGAAAAGAAUGGUGAGAAUCCAUUCCACCGAAAGCAUAAGGAUUCCUGGGCAACGAUCGUCGUCCCAGGGUAAGUCGGGACCUAAUCCGAGGCAUGGAGCGUAGGAGAUGGACAACUGGCAGAUAUUCCAGUACCGGUAAUGAUUGUUUGAGCGAUGGAGUGACACAGGAGGGCAGGCAGGCAGGAGAUUGGUUGUUCCUGUACAAGCGUGUAGGAUGGGACGUAGGCAAAUCCGCGUCCUGUGAGUCUGAGGCGUGAUGUGGAGGUUCCGGAAACGGAACCGAAGCUGCUGACCCCACACUGUCGAGAAAAGCUUCUAGUUAGAGAAUUACCGCCCGUACCGUAAACCGACACAGGUAUGCGGGGAGAGAAUCCUAAGGUGCGCGGGAGAACCCUCGUUAAGGAACUCGGCAAAAUGUACCCGUAACUUCGGGAUAAGGGUAGCCGCUGUUGUGAAGUCUGAACAGACGGAGCAUGAGGCGGUCGCAGAGAAGAGGCCCAAGCGACUGUUUACCACAAACACAGGUGCCUGCUAAAGAGAAAUCUGACGUAUAGGUGCUGACACCUGCCCAGUGCCGGAAGGUUAAGGAAGGAUGUCCGGAGCAAUCCAAAGCAUUCGACCGAAGCCCCGGUGAACGGCGGCCGUAACUAUAACGGUCCUAAGGUAGCGAAAUUCCUUGUCGGGUAAGUUCCGACCCGCACGAAAGGUGUAACGAUUUGGGCACUGUCUCAACGAGGGACCCGGUGAAAUUGAAGUACCUGUGAAGAUGCAGGUUACCCGCGACUGGACAGAAAGACCCCAUGGAGCUUUACUGUAACCUGACAUUGGGUUCUGAUACAUCACGUACAGGAUAGGUGGGAGGCAUGGAAGCGAGGACGCUAGUCUUCGUGGAGCCGCCGUUGGGAUACCACCCUUGAUGUAUCGGAAUUCUAACCGUAGGAGUAACGAAACUCGGGACAGUGUCAGGCGGGCAGUUUGACUGGGGCGGUCGCCUCCCAAAGAGUAACGGAGGCGCCCAAAGGUUCCCUCAGCGCGGCCGGAAAUCGCGCGAAGAGUGUAAAGGCAGAAGGGAGCUUGACUGAGAGCCAAACACGGCGAUCAGGUACGAAAGUAGGGCUUAGUGAUCCGGU
rnacentral:rRNA from 1 species